GAAUCUGGAGGAUGACCAUCACUCUACCAACAAGCAUUGGAAGUUUGUAUUAACCAAACAAACUGGAAAUAAAGAGCUUAAAAAUAAAACUAACAACAUGUUUGUUACCAGACGCCAGGGCCAGACUCGCGCUGUUUGUUCCAGACCAGGACUCUGGCUGAGGAGAGCUGAUGGAGGAGCCAAGACUCUGGAGGACGACAUCACUCUACCAACCAGGAUCCUUAGACAAAUUACGUUUGUAACCAGACCAGGAAUCUGGAGGACUGAUGGAGAAGCCGUUCAUCUGGAAGGCAAAUCCUGAGGAGAACCAGGACUCUACCAUCAAGGAUUCCUCACCCACCUGAGCUGAACCUCACCCGAUCCUGUUUGGUCGGGGGUAGACACACCUGAGCUGAACCCGCCCUGAUCCUGACAUCCUGCUGGUCCCGUCUCCUCCCGACAUGCUGAGCUCAGCGGUCUGAGGCUGACGGAUCAAUGACCUCCAGUGGGAGUGAUCUUCUUGACCCCACAUGUAACUGCGUGCUUCCACACGCCUUUCCCUCACAUCUGUCACUAACCUCACUAUUUCACUACUCUCUACUGCUUCCUCUUCUUCUUCCUUCUCUGUGGUUCGAACCUUUAGACUGAAGGCGCGUCUUCCUGCCCUCAGAGGGUUCAGUGUUAGGUUUGAGAGUCAGGGUUUAGAGUCAGGGACAGAACUGGUCAGGGAGGACUGCUUUACACAAACCUCUUCACUUGCUUUCGGAAUGGUGGUGACAUUUUGAAAAGAUUCAUUUGGGAAAAUGUUUUCCUCUGCUUUCCUUACAAAAUUGUAUUAAUCUUCUGUCAAGUGUUUUUGUUUAUAUAUUAAAAUCCCACAUUGACUUUUA